rnacentral:lncRNA from 1 species
GGACUUACCAUAUUGGGUUUAUUAUAAAAUGUUUUGAAAGUAUUUACAAGAUAUGAAAAGGUUUUUUUUAUUUUAUUUUAUUGAAAGUCCACAGUUUUCCCUUAUACAAAAACUUCAAAGAUUGUAAAGUUGCAUCAGUAGAGGGUUUUUUUUUUCUCCUGUUUUUUUGUGGAUCCUUAUCCGUAUAACCAGGGCUGUCACAGUAUCACAUUUUCAACAUAACAUAAGAGCGUAACCAGAAAAAAAAACAAGAUAGUCACAUUAUUGCAGUAGUUAUGGAAAACAACAAAAUGAGUCAAGAGGACAACAAAAGAUUGUGUUAUUUCAUAAGUGGGCUUACUCACAUCUUACUGUCCAUUUUUAUUAAGGUACAAAGUGAUAUUUAAUCUGUGUCACCAGCCCCCUGACCAAAUAGUUUUUAGAAAAGAAAUAGCCUCAUAAGAGGAUUUUUUAAUACUUUUUUUAUGCUUUUAUUUUGAAUUUUUUGACAGUUUUAAUGUCUUGCAACUGGACCAGAGACAAAGAGACCAUCUGUGAUACCCUUAUUGUUUACCAUGCUACAAAUUUUGCUGUAAUCAAUAUGUUCAAGUUGAAAAAAAUAUGCAGAAUUUUCCAUUUCGACUAAAUAGAUGUUGCAAUGUAUGAAUGAAAUUUAGAUCCGCUGCUCGGUGAACUUGUGUUUCCACUCACCUGCGGUCAUUUUCCUUGAAUGCUACUGUCAGUAAGUGGAGAUGAACUGCUUUUAUAGAAGUGUACAAAUACAUCCAAACUUGCAAGCUGGUUCAAUUUCAUGGGCGAAGGGUGACUGAGCUGUUUUACUGUAUUAUUAACUGGCAAUUUAUAAGGCUAGAAAUUAACCAGUUCCUGACCAAUUAAGCUUUUUUCUCAUAAUCAACCGUCUCCUCACUAAUAUCACUUAGUCUGCAUUAUAGAGCUUAAUAGUUUAUACCCGUGACAUUGGAACUAAACUACUUUAUAGUUUAAUAUUAUCAGCUAUAUGUGAAUAGCUAAAUGUGAAUAAAAUCUUCCAUAUCACUGUAAAGUGUGCUGCGACCAAAAUUUAAAAAACACUUAACAUGGAGUCAGUUAAAUUUCAGACUGAAAUUGGCACAGGUGUGAAAGUUAUUCACUCUAAAUUUUAGUAGCUUGAUGUAUGCUUAUAUCCAAACCCAGGGAGCUUUCAUGUGGCUGGAAGUUGCUUUUUGAAAUCCUUCAGUGGGUUUGUUAAAUAAAUGAGUUUUCACUGUCUGUGAGUACAUGCUGUAUUUUUCCAAGCGGCUGAACAAGAGGAAAUGAGAGUGAAUCGAAGAGAAACUCAGGAAUACAAGAGAGGAAGGACUGGUAUAAAUAGGUUUCCUUGAUAAAAGUCAGUUUUGUGCAAGUCUACGUCUGUGUGAGGUUUUCGUCUACUGCAUAUGUAAGUGAGUGACAAAAGGUGAGCAAAUUAGCAGUUCUUACAAGCAGGUUGGCAGGGGGAGCUUUAGAGGAGCCUUGAACAUCAGCAGCUCCUGAUGAAGAGCUUGGAAGUGCUUGAAACAGCGUUUGAUUUUCCAUGUGAAGUCCCGGUGGCUCAGCUCAAUCGUGUAGACAUUUGGAUUCAGCACCUUUGAGGUUAACAUUUCAAAAAGAGAUGGUUCAGCUCCACUGCAUCAACAGUCACUUACAAGAACUUUUGAGAGAUGAAACAUGUAUAAUGAUACAAUACUGUCUUUAAGGAUAAGUUUGGGGAUUUUGAUAUUAAGAAACUUUUGAUCAGAGAGGGUGAGACACUAAGUUUUAGAGGAAUAAUGAGUGAAAAGCGCUUUUUAUAAAGGUUCAGACAAGGGCAUGUGACAAGCGAUGACUCAGUACCCGGUUUAUAGUCAAUUAUAUCUCACUCACCUUUGUUGUAGAUGUCUGUUCGACCUCUGUCACCCAGACAAAAAUAGGAAUGUUUUACAAGAACACUUUGGAGUCCAGAGACUUAAAUGGGGGGGAGUAGCAGACAAGCACUGGUUCUUGCCUGCAGGAAAAAAUACACACAACUAUUACAAAAAGCACAAUUGGGAAUAGCUUUUCCUGACAGACAUUGUAACAGACGUGUGUCCACUGCAAACAUGUUUUAUCACAAAAUAUCUGGAAAACAAAAUCCUACCAGACAACAGCUGCACUCAUCUCCCUUUAAAUGAACUGCUUUUAUGAGAUUGUAGUUGUGAUUUUAACUCAUAAACAGCAAUAAUAAUAAUUAUCAUUAUCAGUGAGCUUAUUUCAACCUAAAACCUUUCAGAGCUGUCAGCAAUCACUCGCAUUUGAUGGUUGCAUUUAUCCUAAUACUGACAUAUUCUCAAAACCACAACUUUGACAGCAAGUAAAAAGUAUCUCAUGUUUGGCAUUCAACUUCUCCAGCUCAUGUCACUGAUAAACUACUCAUUAAAGAAUUUCCCUGGGACAGCUCCCACUGUUUACAUUCAGCCACCACCUCACUAUUACUACCAUUUAUCAGCCCAGGGAGGUAGGUGUAGGCCACACUGAGUCCUUAAAGCUAAUAGCUGUAAAGCUGAAUUUCAUACACACAAAUUCCUCCAGACAGCUCUUUUCCUUGCCUCAUUUUAUGCCACAUGGUUUGUUUGAUUCCCACCAACUGCUGUUACUUUUAUGCUUGAUAAACCCAAACUGCAUUUUUGGAUCUUUAUUGAAUCUCUCUUAUUUCACCCUGAGCCUUGUGUUAAAAGUUGCCAACCUGACUCAAGCAACAUUCAGCUAAAAUAUCAAAAGUAACUUUUUGAUCUAAAAGUGAAUAUUGUGUUAAUUAAAAAAUAUUAAAGGUCUACCAUCAUCCAGUAAUAUAACGUUUUCAGCCUCAUGUGUAUGUUCCUAUAGACUAUUUUUCCAUCGGAUGGAUGUUGUAUUUUGAAAUUGUUGGUCACAUAAGAAAAUAAAAGCGAAAUGCAUAUUGUAAUAUAAUGACGUGUGAAGUUUGUAUGCAAACAGACAACAUCCCAAAGUUUCUGACUUCAGUAGUUUGAUACAUAAUCCAGAGGCAGAAGCUAACUUUUAAAGCAGUUCUUUUUCAGCGGGUUCAAUCCAACUAUAUUUGAUGUUUGGGGUCUAAAGGGGAUAAACAUGCAUUAGCUUGGGAGAAUAGAAGAAGUUCCAGAACAUCUAUUUUUGCCAGAUAUGCAGUCUUUAAAAAUGUAUAACGUUUCAGCACAAAGCAUGUUUUACCAAUAUAAACUUUGCCCAUCAUUAGUAAACAUGUUCCUUAAUAAACAAGGCUUUGGAGAAUAUCAUUGUAUAUCACCCACUGUGAUCAGAGAGAAAGAAAACUGUGCCGACUGCGAUUAACAGCUAAUGAUGAAAAAAACAUGCAGGCUGCAUCCUUCAUCUCUGAACAUUGUGUGAUGCUCACCCAUUUCCUCACUUUCACGCCAUUUGACCCUGACCUUUCAUUUUCUGAUGUGACUCUAUGUCAGGCUGCACCCAAUCAAUGUCUGUCACCUUCAGCCUGAUCACAAAAACGCUGGACCCACCCUGACUGUGUCUCAACUGGCACCCCUGUCGUUGGGCCAUGGCAUUUGGGCCACUUGAUCUUCUUUUGGUGGUACUGGGACAUCCUGCCUCAUUAUCUUCUUCGCCCCGCCUUGUCCAGCCCGCUGAAAGUGAUGCUAAUAACAUGGAUUCCAACUGACUGACAUGGGUGAAGAACCAGGAGAUGAAUUGAAAUCCAUACUUCAUGCAUUUUGCAUGGAGUGGUAAUUAGGUAUUUUUGGGUUACUAAAUGCUUCUGUCAAACUAGCCAUGUUCCUGCAAGACAGGAAAAAGUCUGCUGAAAGCUUGUAGUACCAAGGCUAGAUGUAAAAACUGACUAGAUCAGGAAUAAUGUGGGCGCUCUGAACCAAUCUGAGCAUUUUAAAGUCAGAACUAUCAGAUCUUCAGACCUUGAAGAUUCACCAAGUCCAGCAGCACCCGUAAAAAUUGUAAUUGAUCCUGUCAGCACAAAAGGCCGAUGUUUCAUAGCUUGCCUUGAUUAUGUCUGCUUUCUUGCUGAAUAAGCAUCUGUUUCUCUAACUAACCCUGAGACCCAUUUUUAAAGUCUGCGAAUGUGCCCCCUUGUCGCCUUGGGCCCCUGGCUCUGGCCAUUAGAGAGAUUCCUCCUCUUCCUCGAAGCAAUGACAGGUGAAGUGGAGCACAAAAUCCCAAAGCCUGUGAUGGGCCCCUCUACAAGCUCAGAACCUUUAAUUCUAACAGACACUUAUCUCUCUGUAAGCACUUUUUUGGGCCUGAAAUAUCCUAUGACAGACAACAGAUUACUCAUGUUUAAGGAGACAGCUGCACUGCCUUGUAACAGCACUACACACACCAUGCUGCUUUUCCGCAGUGAUAAUAGCAGUGGGAAAUCCUAACAGAAAAAACAUUCACGAACUCCUUCACACCAAGGUUUUGCAUCUCGCAUUCAAAUGAAGAAAAUGUUUCUUCAUUAAAGAAUAAAAAUUAAAGUGAGGUUUUGCUGCAAAAGGACAAAUAUCAGACAGUUCUGAUAACAUUUUAGCUUCUUUUUUAUUCAGAAUAUGUAGAUGAAAUAGAAGUCAGUACACUUGGAUAAAAUGUUAUUUUUCAUGCUUAAUUUUUUUUUUCUUAAACUAUUUGCAAAAUCCUACAACAAAUUGAAUUUGGACACCACAAACAUUCAAGCAAAAGUCAAUCAAAACCAAAUAUCCUUUUUACACCUUUCAGAGCUCCAGAAAGGUGUAAGCAGUGUUUACAAUAAAGUGUGCAAAGUUCAAGCAAUUCCCUUAACAGCAUCACUAUGUUAUCUUCUUGAAACUAUCAUGCAACAUUCACUUAACAUGUCACUUAGCAUUCACUUAAAUACUCAUAUUUACUUUCUUUGCCCUACAUAUUUUUAUUCUUAUAUAGGCUAUUGCUAUAUUACUGAAAAUUCACAAUGAUAACUGCAAUUGUUUAUCUGAAAGUGAUAGGAGGUGUAAUACCACACAAUAUAUGAUUUUAGAAUUUUUUUUUUGCAAUGAUAGCCUUUGUAUGGUGGCCAAGAACCGCCACUGCUGCAAAUAAAAACGAAUGCAAAAAAAAAGAAGCCACAACAGAAGUUACCGAUAAAAAAAAAGAAAGAAAGAAAGAAAGAAAGAAACCAAAGCCCGCUGCAAAUAAAAAAAGAAAUUGUGCAAAUCUUUGAAAAAAAGCCACAAUGGAAGUUAAUGACACAAGAAAAAGAAGAAAAAAAAGGGCAAUGCAAAAAUAAAAAAGAAGUUACUUGCUGCAAAAAUAAAAGGAUGCAAAAAAAAGAAGCCACAAUGGAAGUGAGCAGCCAGGGACUAAUAAUAAAAAAGCAAGGGGUCUGCGUACUUUAUGAGUAAAGCUACUGAACUCUCGUAGGUGGUCUUGCGGGCCGUAGUGGGUUUCCCGUCUUAGCCAAAGCUAACAUUACACUGGCACCCUCCUGUUCAACUUCAUAUUGACUCAGGCACUACAUGGUCUAACCAAAUUGAAAAGUACAUGAAGCAAAAUUAAACAAUAACCUUUCCACUUACUUCUUUGUUCGUCUUCUCGCCGUCAUCUUCUGUGCCUAGAUUGUAAAACACCGGUGCAUCAUCAUUAUUGGUCCCCAGCAGCUCAAUUUCAUUGUGGCUUUUUUUAUUUGCAUCCUUUUAUUUUUGCAGCAAGAAACAUUUUUUUUUUUUUCAUCGUUCACGUCUGUUGUGGCUCUUUUUAAAAAAAAUCUUCACCGUUUCUACUUCUACCAAUAACUUCCGUUGUGGCUUCUUUUCUUUUUUUUUUUUUUGCAUUCUUUUUUAUUUGCAGCAGUGGAUGUUAUCGGCCACCAUACCUUUUGCGGUUACCAGUUGUAUAAGAAAAGGUGCACAUAAUGAUGUGUUACAGUACAAAUUUUAAUAUUUUAAUCAGAUUCAUUGCUCUUUAAGAGCAACAAUAGUACCUCCUCAUCAUGUUUUUGUCUUUUAUUGUCAAACAUACUGUGCAUCCUCUACCCCACACGCCACCAACUCCA